GAUGCGCUAAACUAAAUCUGCUAAAUUUAACAUCUGAUACUAACUUAUCAGGCACAUCA
rnacentral:tRNA from 1 species